rnacentral:rRNA from 1 species
CCCCACCCCCAUACCGCCCUGAUUAUGCCUGAUCUUGUCUGAUCUUGGAAGCUAAGCAGGGUCAGGCCUGGUUAGUAAUUGGAUGGGAGACCGCCUGGGAAUACUGGGUGCUGUAGGCU